UUAAGCAAUAAGAAAUUAAAUAUUAAAAAAUAAUGUCAAUAAAAUUGUGCAUGAAGUCAAUUUAAAAAAAAAAAUUGAAAAUAGGAUUUUAAAGAAAUAGAAAUACAAAAAUGGGGAGCCAAGCCAAUCCGAUACACCACACCAGCUGUCAGUUCUAGCGUUGGGUGGCUCCCUCUCUCCUGUGUCUUCCGGCGUUUACGAGUUUCUCUCUGUUUCUGUGUAUCUGUCUGCUCUUUCCUGCUCUUUUAUGGGCUAAAUUGCACAAUUCUAAUGUUUGAGGUUACCCUAUAGCCCCAUACUAACUUAUCCUCGCGAGUCUAUAUGCCUCGUGGAUAUUUAAGAUUGGAUUUCAACUGGGUUUUCUUUGUUCCGGACUCUUCAAUACUUGUCUAGAUUCUCAGGUUCCCAACGCUUCAGAGGUUUCUAUGGCUUACUGCAGCUUGGGAGCUUCAAAUCUUAAACUUUCAAAGUUGGAUUUUGGCAGAGCAAGAGUUGGGAGUCUAAGGCAACGGAAUGACAUAAAGACAUGGAUAGAUAGGAGACAACUACAAUAUGCAGGUCUUACUGUUUUAUACGAAACAAUAUUGGAAACAGAGUGUAAGUGCUUUCAUUGAUACCUAUGGUAAUUGUACACUCUUCCAUGGCGUUGUUUCAAAGUUUUGGUGGACAAAAAUAAUAUUCGUAAUCAUAUCUUUCCAUA